rnacentral:rRNA from 1 species
UCGGUGACAGGUGGUGCAUGGUUGUCGUCAGCUCGUGUCGUGAGAUGUUGGGUUAAGUCCCGCAACGAGCGCAACCCCUAUUGUUAGUUGCCAUCAUUCAGUUGGGCACUCUAGCGAGACUGCCGGUAAUAAACCGGAGGAAGGUGGGGAUGGCGUCAAAUCAUCAUGCCCCUUAUGACCUGGGCUACACACGUGCUACAAUGGUUGGUACAACGAGUUGCGAGUCGGUGACGGCGAGCUAAUCUCUUAAAGCCAAUCUCAGUUCGGAUUGUAGGCUGCAACUCGCCUACAUGAAGUCGGAAUCGCUAGUAAUCGCGGAUCAGCACGCCGCGGUGAAUACGUUCCCGGGCCUU